rnacentral:rRNA from 1 species
CUGGAAUCGCUAGUAAUCGCAAAUCAGAAUGUUGCGGUGAAUACGUUCCCGGGUCUUGUACACACCGCCCGUCACACCAUGGGAGUCGGAUAUGCCCGAAGCCAGUGACCUAGCCGCAAGGAAGGAGCUGUCGAAGGUGGAGCCGAUAACUGGGGUGAAGUCGUAACAAGGUACC